AGUCUAUGGUUCGGGCAAUUUUUUACCAAUCCCUUAAAAUGCUCCCAUGCGACACUUAAGGUCUCAGCUUUUUUUGUUCAAAGUUCAUAAUCUCUCGACGCCU